GAUGAACGCUGGCGGCGUGCCUAAUACAUGCAAGUCGAGCGAACAGACGAGGAGCUUGCUCCUCUGACGUUAGCGGCGGACGGGUGAGUAACACGUGGAUAACCUACCUAUAAGACUGGGAUAACUUCGGGAAACCGGAGCUAAUACCGGAGAAUAUAUUGAACCGCAUGGUUCAAUAGUGAAAGACGGUUUUGCUGUCACUUAUAGAUGGAUCCGCGCCGCAUUAGCUAGUUGGUAAGGUAACGGCUUACCAAGGCAACGAUGCGUAGCCGACCUGAGAGGGUGAUCGGCCACACUGGAACUGAGACACGGUCCAGACUCCUACGGGAGGCAGCAGUAGGGAAUCUUCCGCAAUGGGCGAAAGCCUGACGCAGCAACGCCGCGUGAGUGAUGAAGGUCUUCGGAUCGUAAAACUCUGUUAUUAGGGAAGAACAAAUGUGUAAGUAACUAUGCACGUCUUGACGGUACCUAAUCAGAAAGCCACGGCUAACUACGUG
rnacentral:rRNA from 1 species